rnacentral:rRNA from 1 species
UACAGAGGUCUCAAGCGUUGUUCGGAUUCAUUGGGCGUAAAGGGUGCGUAGGUGGCGCCGUAAGUCGGGUGUGAAAUUUCGGAGCUUAACUCCGAAACUGCAUUCGAUACUGCGGUGCUUGAGGACUGGAGAGGAGACUGGAAUUCAUGGUGUAGCAGUGAAAUGCGUAGAGAUCAUGAGGAAGACCAAUGGCGAAGGCGGGUCUCUGGACAGUUCCUGACACUGAGGCACGAAGGCCAGGGGAGCAAACGGG